rnacentral:rRNA from 1 species
AGUGAACGCUGGCGGUAGGCCUAACACAUGCAGGUCGAACGGCAGCACAGUAAGAGCUUGCUCUUACGGGUGGCGAGUGGCGGACGGGUGAGGAAUACAUCGGAAUCUACUUUUUCGUGGGGGAUAACGUAGGGAAACUUACGCUAAUACCGCAUACGACCUACGGGUGAAAGCAGGGGAUCUUCGGACCUUGCGCGAUUGAAUGAGCCGAUGUCGGAUUAGCUAGUUGGCGGGGUAAAGGCCCACCAAGGCGACGAUCCGUAGCUGGUCUGAGAGGAUGAUCAGCCACACUGGAACUGAGACACGGUCCAGACUCCUACGGGAGGCAGCAGUGGGGAAUAUUGGACAAUGGGCGCAAGCCUGAUCCAGCCAUACCGCGUGGGUGAAGAAGGCCUUCGGGUUGUAAAGCCCUUUUGUUGGGAAAGAAAAGCAGCAGGUUAAUACCCCGCUGUUCUGACGGUACCCAAAGAAUAAGCACCGGCGAACUUCGU